ACAGCGGUGCGCAGGCGCUAAGGCUACAUCCGGUGUGGCCAUCGGUUUCGCCAGGUGUUUGCGGAGGGCAGGCCGGAGGACCGAGUGUGUAGUCAUGUCGGCGUCUGUAGUGUCCGUCAUCUCGCGGUUCUUAGAAGAGUACUUGAGCUCCACUCCUCAGCGUCUGAAGUUGCUUGACGCGUACCUCCUGUACAUACUGCUGACCGGGGCGCUGCAGUUCGGUUAUUGCCUCCUCGUGGGGACCUUCCCCUUCAACUCUUUUCUCUCGGGCUUCAUCUCUUGUGUGGGGAGCUUCAUCCUAGCGGUUUGCCUCAGGAUACAGAUCAACCCACAGAACAAAGCGGAUUUCCAAGGCAUCUCCCCAGAACGAGCUUUUGCUGAUUUUCUCUUUGCCAGCACCAUCCUGCACCUUGUCGUAAUGAACUUCGUUGGCUGACUUACUCCCAUUUACUUAAUUGAGGAGUAGGAGGCUAGAAGAAUUUGAAGAGCACCUUUUUGGUUCAUUCUAGACCUGUUUUUGUUCCCAACAUGACCUCCACUGGUUCACUUUUUGCUUUCCCCUGGAUAAGAGCUUUUGAGAUGGCAACUUGGACACGUGGAU